rnacentral:rRNA from 1 species
UCAGUCUUAUCGGUGGAUCACUCGGUUCGUGGAUCGAUGAAGAACGCAUCUAAAUGCGAUAAAUACCGUGAACUGAAGACAUUUUGAACGGAAAGAUUUCGAACGCACAUUGCGCCUUAGGAGUCUCAUCCUUUGGCACAUCUGAUUCAGGGUCGCUUU